GACGAACGCUGGCGGCGUGCUUAACACAUGCAAGUCGAACGGAAAGGCCCUGCUUGCCGGGUACUCGAGUGGCGAACGGGUGAGUAACACGUGGGUGAUCUGCCCUGCACUUCGGGAUAAGCCUGGGAAACUGGGUCUAAUACCGGAUAGGAGCCAUUUUUAGUGUGAUGGUUGGAAAGUUUUUUCGGUGUAGGAUGAGCUCGCGGCCUAUCAGCUUGUUGGUGGGGUAAUGGCCUACCAAGGCGGCGACGGGUAGCCGGCCUGAGAGGGUGGACGGCCACAUUGGGACUGAGAUACGGCCCAGACUCCUACGGGAGGCAGCAGUGGGGAAGAUUGCACAAUGGGCGCAAGCCUGAUGCAGCGACGCCGCGUGGGGGAGGACGGCCUUCGGGUUGUAAACUCCUUUCGCUAGGGACGAAGCUUUUUGUGACGGUACCUAGAUAAGAAGCACCGGCUAACUACGUG
rnacentral:rRNA from 1 species